rnacentral:rRNA from 1 species
GAUGAACGCUGGCGGCGUGCCUAAUACAUGCAAGUCGAGCGAACAGACGAGGAGCUUGCUCCUCUGACGUUAGCGGCGGACGGGUGAGUAACACGUGGAUAACCUACCUAUAAGACUGGGAUAAUUUCGGGAAACCGGAGCUAAUACCGGAUAAUAUAUUGAACCGCAUGGUUCAAUAGUGAAAGACGGUUUUGCUGUCACUUAUAGCUGGAUCCGCGCCGCAUUAGUUAGUUGGUAAGGUAACGGCUUACCAAGGCGACGAUGGGUAGCCGACCUGAGGGGGUGAUCGGCCACACUGGAACUGAGACACGGUCCAGACUCCUGCGGGAGGCAGCAGUAGGGAAUCUUCCGCAAUGGACGAAAGCCUGACGGAGCAACGCCGCGUGAGGGAUGAAGGUCUUCGGAUCGUAAAACUCUGUUAUUAGGGAAGAACAAAUGUGUAAGUAACUAUGCACGUCUUGACGGUACCUAAUCAGAAAGCCACGGCUAACUACGUG